rnacentral:rRNA from 1 species
CCUACGGGAGGCAGCAGUAGGGAAUAUUGCUCAAUGGGGGAAACCCUGAAGCAGCAACGCCGCGUGGAGGAUGAAGGUUUUCGGAUUGUAAACUCCUUUUGUUAGAGAAGAUAAUGACGGUAUCUAACGAAUAAGCACCGGCUAACUCCGUGCCAGCAGCCGCGGUCAUACGGAGGGUGCAAGCGUUACUCGGAAUCACUGGGCGUAAAGAGCGCGUAGGCGGGAUAGCAAGUCAGAUGUGAAAUCCUAUGGCUUAACCAUAGAACUGCAUUUGAAACUGUUAGUCUAGAGUAUGGGAGAGGUAGGUGGAAUUCUUGGUGUAGGGGUAAAAUCCGUAGAGAUCAAGAGGAAUACUCAUUGCGAAGGCGACCUGCUAGAACAUAACUGACGCUGAUGCGCGAAAGCGUGGGGAGCAAACAGGAUUAGAUACCCCGGUAGUC